AUAUUUUUAAAAAAAAUUAUGAAAUUGAAAAAUAAAAUAAAUAUAUAGCAUAUAUAUAACUAACAAAUAAUUUCACUCUUACCGAAAAAUAUAUUAAUUGUAUAUAUAUGUGAAUAUGUGUACAUAAGAGAAUAUAUUAUGAAUAUUAUAAAUUUACAAAUACAUAUUCCUAUAUAUUAAACCGGUUUACAACUUUUUUUUUAUUUCUUUUUUUGUUGGCACCUCACACCUACCUGUUUAAAACUUAACCUAAUUUAAAAAAAAAAAGAAAAAAGAAAAAAAAACUAAUAAAAAAAAAAAAGACGCCGGCCGAUGUCCUUCCCAUGUCUCUAUCCUUGCUUCUUCUUCAUCACCGGCAAGAGUCACGAACGACGGCGAAAACUACAGAUUUCAGGGACUUGGUCAGAGGCGGUGAGUGAGGAAAGGCGGGAGAAUUCGGUGAAGAAGAGCGAGCUUCAGAUUUGGGAGGCGUUCACGAAUUUGGCAGUACAUCAAAGGAGGAGAUCUGGAUUCGUACAUGAGGAAGGGAGGCGUGGAAAAGAAGAUGAACGGUUAAAGGCUCGUGAAGGAUGAGAGAUAAGAAGAAAUUGUAGACUAGAUUAUGAGAUGCUAAGGAAAUAAAGAAGAAGAAUUGCAGAUGAGGAAGAGUUAAGCAAGAAGAAGUGUUAAGGAGGAGACUACGGGACGUGAAAGGAGGAGAGCAGAAGAUUAAAAAAAAGCAUCUGGACCAUUGAUUCAAAAUUAAUCAAUGGACACAGAUUACAAUCCUUGCAUUUAGAUAUUCCACCAAUGAGGAGGAGAGGCGGAUAUUGAAACGAAACAACAUCUGAACCAUUGAUUCAAGUUUAAUCAAUGGUCAUAGAUUGCAUCUAUGCAUUGACCAAUGAGAGUUUUACUUUUAAAAAAUUUAAAACAUUUUAGUUAAUGGUAGAUAAUUUAGUGGAUGUGUUUGAUUAUAUUUUGGCUUUAUAAACUAGUUUAUUAAUAUGUUUAACAUUUUCCAAACUUUUAGUUUACGUAUUUGAGUUAUAUAAGUUAUAAGGGUUUGCUGUUAAUUAGUUGUAAUAACAAAUCAAGUGUUAUUGAUUCGGUUCAAAACGAGUCUCUCGCAAAUCUCUUGCAAAUUUGCAAUGGAAAUUGCGCAAAUCAAGGCUUGAGACUUAAGUUCAUAACAAUAGUUAAUCAAAUUUCGGAAAAUAUUUUUCGAUGUACAUUUUAAACAUUAUAAAUGAUUUAAUGUCUAGAUUAGUGAUUUGGGGUAUAGAGUUUAUACAUAGAUUUUAGGGUUUGAGAUAUAGUGUUUGAGUUAAGAUUAGUGAUUUUUUUUUUGUGUUGUUUAGUAUUUUUAUUUAUGUUUGAAAUGUAUAAUGUAAAAUUUUAAAUUUGGUAUAUAGUUUGAGAUAUUUUAUAUAUAUAUAUUAUAAAAAUUAGAUUUUAUUUAAAUUUUGAGUAAUUGGGGAAAAAAUGAAUUUACAAGGGAAUUGCAAGGGUUCAUCGCAAAUUUGAGAUUUGCAAUGGAAUUGCGAGGGAUCCCUCGCAAAUUCCUUGCAAAUUCAUAAGUCAAUGAGUUUAGGGUUUCGUUUGGGGUAUUGGUAUAUUUUUGCUGGACUAAUAUGUAUUUUGUAUUUGUUGUUCGAAAAAACAAUUGACGUGAAAUUUUGUUUCAAUUUUUUUUUGGAAACUUCUUUGACGUGUAUUUAUUGUAUAAAUUAUAGAGUUUUGAUGUUUAGUACUUUGUAAUAUUAGAGUUUUGAUGUUUAGUACUUUGUAAUAUUAGUUUUUAUUUAUUUUUGAAAUGUAUAAUGUAAAAUUUUAAAUUUGGUAUAUAGUUUGAGAUAUUAUAUAUAUAUAUAUAUAUAUAUUAUAAAAAUUAGAUUUUAUUUAAAUUUUGAGUAAUUGGGGAAAAAAUGAAUUUGCAAGGGAAUUGCAAGGGUUCAUCGCAAAUUUGAGAUUUGCAAUGGAAUUGCGAGUGAUCCCUUGCAAAUUCCUUGCAAAUUCAUAAGUCAAUGAGUUUAGGGUUUCGUUUGGGGUAUUGGUAUAUUUUUGCUGGACUAAUAUGUAUUUUGUAUUUGUUGUUCGAAAAAACAAUUGACGUGAAAUUUUGUUUCAAUUUUUUUUUGGAAACUUCUUUGACGUGUAUUUAUUGUAUAAAUUAUAGAGUUUUGAUGUUUAGUACUUUGUAAUAUUAGAGUUUUGAUGUUUAGUACUUUGUAAUAUUAGUUUUUAUUUAUUUUUGAAAUGUAUAAUGUAAAAUUUUAAAUUUGGUAUAUAGUUUGAGAUAUUAUAUAUAUAUAUAUAUAUAUAUUAUAAAAAUUAGAUUUUAUUUAAAUUUUGAGUAAUUGGGGAAAAAAUGAAUUUGCAAGGGAAUUGCGAGGAUUCCCUUGCAAAUUCAUCGCAAAUUUGAGAUUUGCAAUGGAAUUGCGAGGGAUCCCUCGCAAAUUCCUUGCAAAUUCCUUGCAAAUUCAUAAGUCAAUGAGUUUAGGGUUUCGUUUGGGGUAUUGGUAUAUUUUUGCUGGACUAAUAUGUAUUUUGUAUUUGUUGUUCGAAAAAACAAUUGACGUGAAAUUUUGUUUCAAUUUUUUUUUGAAAACUUCUUUGACGUGUAUUUAUUGUAUAAAUUAUAGAGUUUUGAUGUUUAGUACUUUGUAAUAUUAGUUUUAAGUGUCAGAAAAUAUUUAUCCCGUAAAUAUUUAGUUGACUGAUAUUGAUUAAAUUUCCAAAAAUAUUCAUCGAUGUACUUGUUAAACACUAAAUAUUUUAAUUAAUAAUUUUUAUUAACUUUAUUUGAUUUUGGGAGAAAAAUGAUAAAAUGUACAUACCAUGCAAGUUCUUUGCAAAUCUAUUGCAAAUUUGCAAGGGAGCUGUGAGGAAACAAGAUAGACAUACAAAAUUCUUACAAAUCCCUUGCAAAUUUGCUAGAGAAAUGUUUCAUUGCAAAUUUGCGAGGGAUUUGCGAGGACGCUGUAACUUCCAUCGCAAAACNNNNNNNNNNNNNNNNNNNNNNNNNNNNNNNNNNNNNNNNNNNNNNNNNNNNNNNNNNNNNNNNNNNNNNNNNNNNNNNNNNNNNNNNNNNNNNNNNNNNNNNNNNNNNNNNUUUUUAUUUAUUUUUGAAAUGUAUAAUGUAAAAUUUUAAAUUUGGUAUAUAGUUUGAGAUAUUAUAUAUAUAUAUAUAUAUAUAUUAUAAAAAUUAGAUUUUAUUUAAAUUUUGAGCAAUUGGGGAAAAAUUGAAUUUGCAAGGGAAUUGCAAGGGUUCAUCGCAAAUUUGAGAUUUGCAAUGGAAUUGCGAGGGAUCCCUCGCAAAUUCCUUGCAAAUUCAUAAGUCAAUGAGUUUAGGGUUUCGUUUGGGGUAUUGGUAUAUUUUUGCUGGACUAAUAUGUAUUUUGUAUUUGUUGUUCGAAAAAACAAUUGACGUGAAAUUUUGUUUCAAUUUUUUUUUGGAAACUUCUUUGACGUGUAUUUAUUGUAUAAAUUAUAGAGUUUUGAUGUUUAGUACUUUGUAAUAUUAGUUUUAAGUGUCAGAAAAUAUUUAUCCCGUAAAUAUUUAGUUGACUGAUAUUGAUUAAAUUUCCAAAAAUAUUCAUCGAUGUACUUGUUAAACACUAAAUAUUUUAAUUAAUAUUUUUUUAUUAACUUUAUUUGAUUUUGGGAGAAAAAUGAUAAAAUGUACAUACCAUGCAAGUUCUUUGCAAAUCUAUUGCAAAUUUGCAAGGGAGCUGUGAGGAAACAAGAUAGACAUACAAAAUUCUUACAAAUCCCUUGCAAAUUUGCGAGAGAAAUAUUUCAUUGCAAAUUUGCGGGGGAUUUGCGAGGACGCUGUAACUUCCAUCGCAAAUCUCUCGCAAAUUUGCGAGAAAAAAUUUUCCUCGCAAAUUCCUCGCAAAUUUGCGAGAGAUUUGCAAGGAAAAUAAUUUUUCUUGCAAUUCCGUUGCAAAUCUGUCGCAAAUUUGCAAGGAAAAUUUUCGCUCGCAAAUUUCCCUUGCAAUCGGCGUGUUUUCUUGUAGUGUGAGAGCAUUUUGGCAUGUAGCUCCUGCUCAUAAGUCACGGGUUUUCCCUUCUUGUAGUAUAAGUAGUCGGAUAUGUAUCUCUUUCUCCUCAACAUCAAAAACCUUAUCACCAAAACCGUUGUAAUAUUUUGGAACGAAAACCAUUGUAAUAUUUUUCUGCUACUUGCUUCUCUCAAUCCUUUGUAUCCAUCUCAUCAACAUGCUUCGUCUGAUGAAAAUGAUGAAAUCGAGGAGAGAUUGGAUGAUAUUAUCGAAGAUUUCAUUGACAAAAUUUACGACGAUAUAGUUGAGGCCGAACCCAUACCGCAAAGGACCCGUAGUUAUACUGAACGACACCGCGAAGGAGGACAGCACCAGCUAAGCAAUGACUACUUCAACGACGACCAUUCGAUAUAUUCGAUACAAACUUUCAGACGCCGAUUCCGCAUGAAUAAGGGAUUAUUCAUACGUAUUGUCGAUGGCCUUGAACAAUUCUUUCCAUUCUUCCAGCAAAGAAAAGAUGCAACGGGUAGGUGGGGUCUUACUGCACUACAAAAAUGUACGGCAGCAAUUCGUCUACUUGCUUAUGGAAAUUCGGCUGACACGGUUGACGAAUAUCUCCGACUUGGUGAGAGCACUGCACUUUCUUGUUUACAUCAUUUCACUGAUGGGAUAAUACAGUUAUUCGGAGAUGAGUAUCUGCGACGACCCACAGCAGAGGAUCUUCAACGACUACUCGAUAUGGGAGAGAAACGAGGGUUUCCUGGGAUGGUCGGGAGCAUUGACUGUAUGCACUGGGAGUGGAAAAAUUGUCCAACCGCUUGGAAAGGACAGUACGCCCGUGGCCACGGAAAACCGACUAUUGUCCUAGAGGCCGUAGCUUCACAAGAUCUUUGGAUUUGGCACGCAUUUUUUGGUCUUCCAGGUACCUUAAAUGAUCUUAAUGUCCUCGAUCGAUCUCCUCUGUUUGAUGACCUUUUAGAAGGUCGAGCUCCCAGGGUGAGGUACAUGGUCAACAACCACAUGUAUAAGUUGGCAUAUUACCUCACAGAUGGUAUAUAUCCAAAAUGGUCAACAUUUAUCCAAAGUAUCACACUCCCUCAAAGUCCUAAACAACAGUUAUUUGCUCAAGUUCAAGAAUCAAUCCGAAAAGAUGUCGAGCGGGCUUUUGGAGUAUUGCAAGCUCGGUUUGCGAUUGUGAAAAACCCGGUUCGUACAAUGGCCAAAGAGAAGAUAAGGAAGAUAAUGAGAGCAUGUAUCAUACUACACAAUAUGAUAGUUGAAGAUGAACGAGAUGGUUAUUCAAUGCGGUACGAUAUUUCAGAAUUUGAAGAAGGAGCAUCUUCCAGAACUUCGGAGGUCCUAAACGCAAACCCUACACUAAACGAAAUCCCGACAAUUCUCAAUAAUAUAUUUCCCAACCGAAAUGAUCUUCGUGAUAGGCAAACUCAUGAACGAUUGAAGAAUGAUUUGAUCGAAAACAUUUGGAAUAAAUUUGGCGAUGAAGAUUAAUAAUUAGUAUCUUUAUAUUUAAACCUUGUAUCUUUUAAUCCUUGUAUCUUUAAAUUGAAUCCUUGUACCUUUUAUUUUAAUUAUGCAAUUAAUAAAUUUUCAAUUUUAAUUUUUUUAUAAAAAAAUAAUAAUAUUUUAUUGCUAAGGACUCCGUCUUCGGGAAUUAUUGUUUAAAAAAUGUGUGGUUGAUGUGAAUAUAAAGGAAAGUGCGGGUCUGCUACAGGAUGUGCAGACAAUAUAGAACUCGGCAUACUAUAUGCUUAAAGAGCCAUCAAGUACCAUCAAACAUUUGUUAAAUUAGAGACAUUUGAUAGGAGAGGUUAUAAAAUGGUGUCCACAGUUGAGGACUGGACAAGAGCUGAGAAGAUAUGUCAUUUUUCGGGGCCGUUUGCUGAGAUAUGUGAAACUCAUUUGGAGGAGUGUCGAUCGGCACUAAGGUGGUGUCGGUUGACACCAUGACGUAAGCUCAACUGCUUCAUCUUUGUGUAAUAUGAAGAGAGUUCCAUAUAUCCUUGAUGGAGAGUUAAAAUCUCUUGUUCUAACUGAUAAACUUUCGGCAGAUUGCUAACUUUAAACCUCUUGAAUAAAUCUAACCAAGUCUUUGCAGCAUCAUUGUAGUAUAUAAUACUAUCAUAUAUCUCUUGAUUAACUAAAUUAAAAAGCCAAGAUUUGACCAUGAUAUUGUAGUGAUUCCCAGGGGCGAAGCCAGGUUACCCACUAUGGGAGCCUGUGCACCCGUAAUAUUAAUUGAUAAUGUAAUUUUCGUGUAAAGAAACCAAGGUACGAUACUAUCUUUUGACCUGUUUCUAUUUUAUUAUAAAGAGUGCACCCAAUAAUUACAAAUCCUGGAUUCGUCCCUGGCGAUUCCAUAUCUUAAACAUCAAUCAGAUUCCUCUGCUCUAGGUAAAUAUCUGUCAUGAAAACUUCAUUUUUUCUUAGAUUCUAGAUACAUUGCCAUUGCAACCCUCCAGGUAUUGUAAUUUGUACCAUCUAGGGUAUGGGAAACAAACGAUAGACCAGGAUGAUCCACAACAUAUAAGAAGAACAGACUAUGAGAGCAUCAAGCGACAUUGUAGUAGAUGAUACCUUUCCGGUAGCACGUACCGUGAAUAAAUUCUGUACCAGAAGUUCUUCGGUCGGCCUUUGGAGCUCGAGAGUCUGCACGAUGUCACUACAAGAAAACACAUAUGUUGCAAGGGAAGAAAUCUUUGCAAUUCCCUUGCAAAUCGCAAUUUGCAAGGAAAUUGCGAGGAAAACAUAUUCCUCGCAAAUCCAUUGUCGCAAAUUUGCGACGGAAGAUGUUUCCUCGCACAUUUGCGACGGAAGAUGUUUCCUCGCAAAUUUGCGACGGAAGAUGUUUCCUCGCAAAUUUGCUACGGAAAUGUUUCCUCGCAAAUUUGCGAUGGAAAAUGAUUUCUCGCAAAUUUGCGAUAGAUUUAAGAAACGCAGUUUCCUCGCAAUUUCUUGAAAAAUAUUUUUAAAAAAAAUUAUGAAAUUGAAAAAUAAAAUAAAUAUAUAGCAUAUAUAUAACUAACAAAUAAUUUCACUCUUACCGAAAAAUAUAUUAAUUGUAUAUAUAUGUGAAUAUGUGUACAUAAGAGAAUAUAUUAUGAAUAUUAUAAAUUUACAAAUACAUAUUCCUAUAUAUUAAACCGGUUUACAACUUUUUUUUUAUUUCUUUUUUUGUUGGCACCUCACACCUACCUGUUUAAAACUUAACCUAAUUUAAAAAAAAAAAGAAAAAAGAAAAAAAAACUAAUAAAAAAAAAAAAGACGCCGGCCGAUGUCCUUCCCAUGUCUCUAUCCUUGCUUCUUCUUCAUCACCGGCAAGAGUCACGAACGACGGCGAAAACUACAGAUUUCAGGGACUUGGUCAGAGGCGGUGAGUGAGGAAAGGCGGGAGAAUUCGGUGAAGAAGAGCGAGCUUCAGAUUUGGGAGGCGUUCACGAAUUUGGCAGUACAUCAAAGGAGGAGAUCUGGAUUCGUACAUGAGGAAGGGAGGCGUGGAAAAGAAGAUGAACGGUUAAAGGCUCGUGAAGGAUGAGAGAUAAGAAGAAAUUGUAGACUAGAUUAUGAGAUGCUAAGGAAAUAAAGAAGAAGAAUUGCAGAUGAGGAAGAGUUAAGCAAGAAGAAGUGUUAAGGAGGAGACUACGGGACGUGAAAGGAGGAGAGCAGAAGAUUAAAAAAAAGCAUCUGGACCAUUGAUUCAAAAUUAAUCAAUGGACACAGAUUACAAUCCUUGCAUUUAGAUAUUCCACCAAUGAGGAGGAGAGGCGGAUAUUGAAACGAAACAACAUCUGAACCAUUGAUUCAAGUUUAAUCAAUGGUCAUAGAUUGCAUCUAUGCAUUGACCAAUGAGAGUUUUACUUUUAAAAAAUUUAAAACAUUUUAGUUAAUGGUAGAUAAUUUAGUGGAUGUGUUUGAUUAUAUUUUGGCUUUAUAAACUAGUUUAUUAAUAUGUUUAACAUUUUCCAAACUUUUAGUUUACGUAUUUGAGUUAUAUAAGUUAUAAGGGUUUGCUG
rnacentral:lncRNA from 1 species